AAGUUGUAACAAGGUCUUUGUUGGUGAACCAAUGGAGGGAUCAUUACUGAGUCAUGUGCUUAAACAAUCCUUCUGUGGACCUGAAUUAAACCAUUGCCUUGGUGGAUGGUCCCCUGCCAAAACCCAUGUGGUUGUGGACAAAGGACCAGACAGUCUGGCAUGCUUAAGGUGUCUGGUGCCAGCCGUUGGCCCUAACCAAUUAAACUCUAGUAACCUUAUCUUCUGAGUUUUAAUACAAAAAAAAUAAGUCAAAACUUUCAACAAUGGAUCUCUUGGCUCUG
rnacentral:misc_RNA from 1 species